rnacentral:lncRNA from 1 species
AAAAAUAUACCUAUGUCAAAAAAAGUGUAAAUCAUGAUGCUCAGAGUCCUUGUUGGUGACAUCGUGAUGCUUACAAUGUCCCUAUUUGUCAUUGGAACACCACAAAUAAUAAAGAGAUGGCAGAAGCAAAAACGAAAUAUGAAACCAAAAACAUCAAAACGUUUCCUUCGUGGAAUAUCCUUACCAUACAAACCACACAACUUCAGAGAAAAAAAAAUGCCAAUGGGUUCUUACCUUAAGAGCGAGGUGCUUAUUGCCAAAGGUUGUGAUGAUGAGAUUAAAUAUAUAGGGUUUGGAAAUGAAGAACAAAAGAAUUGAUGGUGAGGGUUUCGAAAUUAGGAACUUCAAAAUUAUAUUCAGAAGAAAAUACACACAAAAACAUAACUUUGCUAGAAAAAAUGAUCGUUCCACGUACCUGUUGCAACAACGAACCAAGGAUUGCGGCGAUAAUGGCGGCCAAACAUUGUGAGAAGAGUGAGAAGGGUGAUAUGGUUUGCGGUGAGACUGAGAACAGUGAGAGUGAGAACGUUAGCAGUGAGAUUGAGAAAAAAGGUUUCAGUGAGAAUGAGAAGAGGGUUUGCGGUGAGAUUAAGAAGAAGGGUUUUAGUGAGAAUGAGAAGAGGGUUUGCGGUGAGAAUGUGAAGGGUUUUCGGUGAGAGUGAGAAGAGAAGGGUUGCGGUGAUAAGAGAAGGAGAAUAGAACGAGAAUGAGAACGGUUAGGGUUAGCUGAGAGAGGGGAAUACGAAAGAGGGGAAGUUUCAGUGAGAGGGGUUGCGUUGCGGUGAGAAGGGGGUUCAGUGAGGACAAGGUUCGAAGAGGGAAAUGUGAGGGGGGAAUACGAAAAAAAAGAGUAAAGUUGUAUAUUUUCGAAGAGGGAAAUACGAAAAAGAUAUUGGGAAAGAGGAAGGUCAAGAAGGAGGGAAC